UACGUAGGGUGCGAGCGUUGUCCGGAUUUAUUGGGCGUAAAGAGCUCGUAGGCGGUCUGUCGCGUCGGAUGUGAAAAUCCAGGGCUCAACCUGGACCUGCAUUCGAUACGGGCGGACUAGAGGUAGGCAGGGGAGGAACGGAAUUCCUGGUGUAGCGGUGAAAUGCGCAGAUAUCAGGAGGAACACCAAUGGCGAAGGCAGCUCGCUGGGACGGUACUGACGCUGAGGACGACGAAGCGUGGGGAGCAAACAGG
rnacentral:rRNA from 1 species